rnacentral:rRNA from 1 species
UACGUAGGGUGCGAGCGUUAAUCGGAAUUACUGGGCGUAAAGCGUGCGCAGGCGGUUUUGUAAGCCAGAUGUGAAAGCCCCGGGCUUAACCUGGGAAUGGCAUUUGGGACUGCAAGGCUGGAGUGUGGCAGAGGAGACUGGAAUUCCUGGUGUAGCAGUGAAAUGCGUAGAUAUCAGGAGGAAUACCGAUGGCGAAGGCGGGUCUCUGGACAGUUCCUGACGCUGAGGCGCGAAGGCCAGGGGAGCAAACGGG